UGACGAGCGGCGGACGGGUGAGUAAUGUCUGGGAAACUGCCUGAUGGAGGGGGAUAACUACUGGAAACGGUAGCUAAUACCGCAUAAUGUCGCAAGACCAAAGUGGGGGACCUUCGGGCCUCAUGCCAUCAGAUGUGCCCAGAUGGGAUUAGCUAGUAAGUGGGGUAACGGCUCACCUAGGCGACGAUCCCUAGCUGGUCUGAGAGGAUGACCAGCCACACUGGAACUGAGACACGGUCCAGACUCCUACGGGAGGCAGCAGUGGGGAAUAUUGCACAAUGGGCGCAAGCCUGAUGCAGCCAUGCCGCGUGUGUGAAGAAGGCCUUCGGGUUGUAAAGCACUUUCAGCGGGGAGGAAGGCGUUAAGGUUAAUAACCUUGGCGAUUGACGUUACCCGCAGAAGAAGCACCGGCUAACUCCGUGCCAGCAGCCGCGGUAAUACGGAGGGUGCAAGCGUUAAUCGGAAUUACUGGGCGUAAAGCGCACGCAGGCGGUCUGUCAAGUCGGAUGUGAAAUCCCCGGGCUCAACCUGGGAACUGCAUUCGAAACUGGCAGGCUAGAGUCUUGUAGAGGGGGGUAGAAUUCCAGGUGUAGCGGUGAAAUGCGUAGAGAUCUGGAGGAAUACCGGUGGCGAAGGCGGCCCCCUGGACAAAGACUGACGCUCAGGUGCGAAAGCGUGGGGAGCAAACAGGAUUAGAUAUCCUGGUAGUCCACGCCGUAAACGAUGUCGAUU
rnacentral:rRNA from 1 species